rnacentral:rRNA from 1 species
GAUGAACGCUGGCGGCGUGCCUAAUACAUGCAAGUCGAGCGAACAGGCGAGGAGCUUGCUCCUCUGACGUUAGCGGCGGACGGGUGAGUAACACGUGGAUAACCUACCUAUAAGACUGGGAUAACUUCGGGAAACCGGAGCUAAUACCAGAUAAUAUAUUGAACCGCAUGGUUCAAUAGUGAAAGACGGUUUUGCUGUCACUUAUAGAUGGAUCCGCGCCGCAUUAGCUAGUUGGUAAGGUAACGGCUUACCAAGGCAACGAUGCGUAGCCGACCUGAGAGGGUGAUCGGCCACACUGGAACUGAGACACGGUCCAGACUCCUACGGGAGGCAGCAGUAGGGAAUCUUCCGCAAUGGGCGAAAGCUUGACGGAGCAACGCCGCGUGAGUGAUGAAGGUCUUCGGAUCGUAAAACUCUGUUAUUAGGGAAGAACAAAUGUGUAAGUAACUAUGCACGUCUUGACGGUACCUAAUCAGAAAGCCACGGCUAACUACGUG